rnacentral:lncRNA from 1 species
CACUUGAGGGUCUUCUUAAAGAAUCCACAAAGUAGAAACUCUCUGAAUCGCUAACUCUCGACUUCUCCGAUGUUUCCGCCUCAAAAAGACGACAUUUCGGCCGAGCUGACCCUGAGGGAAGUUUUUUAUUUUGGCGUGUCUUCAGGCAGAGCAGACAUGUUGGAGUCCCCGCGGCCCGGAUACGAGCGAACUGACCGCAUUCUACCGUGACUCCACAUCAGUCAAAAAGAUAUACGCCACUUCCUCCACACACACACACACACACACACACACACACACACACACGUUUCUACGCGCAGAAAAGGCCUCCAUCCCCGUCUCCAUCAGUCAAGUCCUGCGGCCGAUGAACUUCCAUCGUCUCCAAGCUUGAUAACAAGCCUCUUAAGCUUGGCGGCUAAUCAAGCUCAAAGGAGGGAGAGGGAGAGAUAGUGGAGGAGAACAAGAGGUCUGUGGAUGCAGUCAUCUCUCUCUCUCUCUCCUUCUCCUUCCUCUUCAUUUUCAAUUUGGCCUUAUCUCCCUCUCUCCACAGGGGGAGGCGGAGGGAGGCCUAAUAGCUCAGGAGGGGGGCUGCGGAGUCUCCCCACAUACCAGUCAUUUACUUAAACUGGAGAAGAAGAGAAACGUCCUGAUAAAUCAUCCGGGGUCACUCGGCUUCCAUGUUCCCCCCCCGAGUUACGAAGAUAGAGAGAGAGGAGAAAAAAACGAAGGAAGGAAGAAAAAUGACAGAAAAAGUUAAAACGGUCCGACUUUGAUGUUUGUCCCUCAGACAAACGCAAAAAAAAAAAAAAAGAUUUCAACAGAAAUCAAGAGGCGGCGGCGGUGGCUGCUCCGCUAAUGUAGGUCAGCGCUGAAAAAAUGAGCGCGGAUUAACUCGGCUUCUGUUUCAUGGACUGAAACAAACUCAAGUGUGAAGAUCAUCAUAGGAUGAACACGGGUGACGCAAACUAGAGACGUGUUCGAAGAGCAGCUCCCCAACAACUCACGCCAAGGUAGCCAAUCAGUGAAGAGCUUCCCUGAUGAUGUUCAUCAAAAAUGGACGGGUGGAGGUUUGUUAAUCUGAAAAAUGGAGGAAGAACUGAUCGUGACGGUCAAAUAGAAACAAAAAGAAACUUUUUAAACCAAAAUAUUCAAACCUUCAAAUCUAGAAAAUUUCCAUAUCAGUGUCCGGUGUGAACACGACUUCACUGUUCCAGAUUUGAGCCUCAGUGUCAUCUACGAUCACUCAGUUUACAUUCAAACAUCACAGGAAGUUAUGAGACCAUUUUUUCUCUCUCUGAGUAUAUCUGAAAAAUACAUGGAAAUGUCGGAUAGCUUUUUUAUAAUUGAUGGACGGCGUUUGUCAAAUGUACCUGGACAUCACUCCCCGCUACUGUAGCCGAAAAGUUAAGAGACAGUAUUGGGGUUAGGGUUUAAGUUAAUGUCCAGGACCUUUUAGAAGCACGUUUUAGACCAUUUGGAGUCAACUUGUACAAAAAAAAAAGGAAAUAUGUCAAAAUUUUUUCAAGUGUUGGGGUUACGUUGGGGUAAAGUUGGGUUUAGGAUUAAGGUUUAAGAAAAGCGUCACAAAAGUUAACCUAAAGCUGAGGUGGAAAAAAGAAACUCAGCAGAAAUAUAUUUUUUUAAAUCUGAUAAAGAAAAAAGUUUGACGGAGUGUCAGUAAUCUAUGAUCUACGAAAACAUCGUCCUCCAUCCAACAAACCUGUAAUAAUUACAUCCAUUAGUAAAAUUACAGUGUGAUUUAUUUCAUUCAUUAUCUCAGUUUAUCCAAUUAACCCUCUCUUCAUAAAAACUAGUUUUGGACUUGGACAGGGGUCGUCUCAUACUGAGGGUUCGCAGAGGUCACAGAUGUACACAUUCAUAUAGUUUCUCUUCCUCUCUUCCUCUCUCUCUCUCUCAUCGAUUUCCCACGGCUCUCUUACCUCACCCUCUCUCCCCCCUGAGCCUCCCUCUCCUCUCUGCAGCUCUGUCAGCUCUCCGUCUCCAAUCACCUCCUCUCGCCUUCGUCCCACUCAGACUCCUGAGAUCACCACCUGCUCUCUCCUGCUCUCUUUAUUCACCGUUUCAGGUUUGAACAAACGUGACCUUGACUCCUGACAUUAAAGUCUUUCAAUGACAUGUUGGUGGAUUUGCGUGUAUCAGAGAAGUCAUGAGGAUAUAUUCACUCAGUCGUGCUGCCGGUGGACGCCAUUUCUCUCCUGUUUGGCACAUCCUCAGGAGAAAGACUGGUCCAUUAUAUCAGUCAAUCUUAACACGAGUCUCAUGUUGUCUUUAUGACUGGAGUCUAAUCUUAUUAUUUUAGCAGCUUGGAUGAAUUUGCCCUCAGGACACUUUCAGAGAGGACUGACCCCCAACCUCCACCACAUCCUAAAAGGUCGUAUCCUCCGAUCGUAGCUGAUCGUAACCAUUCAAGUUAACGUGUCAAUUCCCACCGACUUCUUUCCGUUCCUCUGCGGAUCGCCGGACUUCUCAGCUGAUCAUAAGAGUUCAAGUGAAAGGUUUUUAGACGUCAUUUCACCCCGAUGACACCAUGGAUGAGGAGAUGCUGAUUCUAGAAGUCUAGAAGUAGAUUUCCUCCUCUGGAAGGACAAAAUCUACUGCUUAUAUGGUUCCGGUUGCUGUGGUAAUCCUGGGUGACUGUAUGAACCUCGACAGUACAGCAGUUAUAUUCAACAGAACAGGAUGUAGUUUUAUUUUGACGAGGUUUGAAGGACAAAGUCUGUUUUUUACAUCUGUGUAACGCUGAGGUUAAAUGAACUCCAUGUAUAUUUAUGUUUUUAAUGUUUCUGUGUGUAAAGAUUUUGAUCAAACCUACUUCUGUUGUUUUAUUUAGAUUAUUUUAACAGCUGGACGUCUAAAAUCCGGUUUAAUGUUAAAUCCUGAAUAAUUUCCUCUGUUACAAAAACUGUUUUGAGCAGAAACAACUCUGAGAUUUAUCAAUUUAACAAAGUUAAAGAGCUGAAUCUGGAGACGUGUGACAUCAUGUGUUUUUAACUUCAUUUCACACACACACACACACACACACACACACACACACACACACACACACACACACACACACACACACAUUCCUCUCAGCCUCAUUCUCAGAAACAGAGGCAACAUUAUACCAUUAAGGCGCUCACUAAUCAUGUCCGACCUUUUUUCCUCCUCACGUCUUAAUCUGUCUCAACUAAACCCGCCAUUAGUGGGACCCCAUCCCCCAAACACACACACACACACACACACACACACACACACACACACACGGUCAUCUGUCCUCCCCCAACACCCAAUAAAUGCCCAUGAAUUACAACCCCAAUCCCAAAAGUAGGAACACCGUCAGAUCUGUUGAUAGAAACGAGUGAAAAGACGAUUAAAGACGAAUAAAGACGAAUAAAGACUCGCUCUGAAUUCAAAGACUACAACAUGUUUUUAAAAAAGUGUUGACAACAAAACAAAACAGAUAAAAAGUUCUUCUGAUAGAGAAACAACCAAACAGGUCAACAGUGGUGUAACGGUAUAAAAACAUCUGGAGGAACAUCUCAAACCAAUGAGGUGGACUGUCAGAGAUUUCUGCAGGGAUCACAACAGCAUGGAUCAGUAGUAGAAGAGUCCUGCUGCUAAACCGGCCUCUCUGGAGUCCUGAUUUGUCCUCCGUUGAACAUAUUUGUUACUUCUUGAAAUUAAAGAUGCGACAAAGAAGAAGAUCCUAAACUGUUGAGAAGUUUGUUUGAUCAGGUUCCCGAACACUUACAGCAUCGUCAAAGACCAUCAGAUUUCACAGUUAUGACCCUGAUCCGACCCGACUGAAGACCCCGUCCUUCCAGCGGCCUCACGUCCUGAUCCUUAAAUGGACGAGCUGAAAACCCGUUAGUGUCUCUGGAGUGAUUUCUGCGCCUCUUCACAGUCAGCGAGGAGAGAGAACAUGUAAAAUCGAGAAGCAACAAAACGACCGAAGAGGAACGAAGAACAUGAAGAGGUGAAGGUUCAGAGAUCUUCAUUUAUUUAUCCUUCAGAGCGAUGAUAAGUCACUGUGCCGGGGUCUUUGUACAGCAAAGGAUUAUGGGUCAUUAAGGAGAGGAACCGGAUCAUAACAAAGUGUUGUUGUGAAAAAUUAGACCUCCUCUCAGACGUGAUGCAGCGAUUAAACCGAAACACCAUGACCUUCUGUGUGUGACCUUCCUGAAUAUACACACACACGCACGCCCUCACACACGUAUCCCAUGAUUCCUCAGGUGUCAUCAUAACUCCUCCGUCUUGUAAACGUCGGCGCUGUUAAAUCCUGCCGAGGUUGAACCCCGCGGAGACAUUUUUCUCCACGGCUUCACCUCGUACUGAAAAGUAAAUGUUUAAGCGAGCGAGGAUAAACAGAGCUAAAUCAUCUUCCCGGGCCGCGAGCGCACACCUUCGGGGGGAACGGAGGGAUUCUGGGAAAUAAAAGUUGUCCCUUGGCUGUAUCUCCGGGAGCAUCAGGAGCGUGACAGGUUUGUCUGGAAGGAAUUUCAAACAAAAGACGCACAAUCGUUGACCCUCAGAGCUCGUCGGCCCGGAGAACACGGCGAUCUGAUGAUGGCGUUUAUUUUAAAAUGCAUCAAAUCACCUGAAUCUGGACUCUAACGGUGGAUUAAAAACGUUUAUGAACGCAUGAAUGUAGGGAAGUUUGUGUGGAGGGAUGAACUGAACAGGGACUUCAGAUCAGAGCUGCACAGUUUUCACAGUUUCAACCAUCGAAAAGGUCUGAAUGCAUCAAAAUAAUGUGACUAAAACAAAAACCUGCAUUUAUCAGGUGGACAUUCUUGUUUUUCCAAAACUUUAUACAUCUAUACUGUCAACACUGAACUUUAGAGACGUGACAAAACGUGUUCAAUAUCGAAUUAAAUGAAAUCAGUUAAUGAGACGUGAGCAAAGAUCGUGAGAUUAGUCAUGUGUAGGUGAGAGUGUCCAGAACGGCAACGAAAAGGUCGUAUCCGCCGAUCUUAGCUGAUCGGAACCAUUCAGGUUAAUGGGCUCUAUUUUGGUGUCCUCCGGGAGAGGUGUCGACAGAAUCAGCGGGCGCAGUGACAUUUUCGUGCUCGCUGCCGGCGUGUAAAGUGCACUGAAAGCUCGCCGUUUCAAACCUGGGCAGGCGGAGCGGAGCUGGUCUAGAGGUAUUUUGGUAGCGCGUUUGGACACUUAACCUGACCGAACCAACACAUCUGAAACCACGUUUAAUUAAAGUAAAUAUCUAGUAAAUAAACACAUGAUAAAGUUAACAAGUUUUUUAAUUCGUCUCCCUCCUUUUCUUUCUUCCUCUUAUUUCUCGCGCAGCUCGACCUCGACAGUCGGAUCGUAUUUCACACCAUGCGAACGGGCGGAGACGAACAAGUGAAAGGUUUUUAGACGUCAUUUCAUCCCGAUGACACCAUGGAUGAGGAGAUGCUGAUUCUAGAAGUCUAGAAGUAGAUUUCCUCCUCUGGAAGGACACAAUCUACUGCUUAUACGGUUAUCCUCUGUGGCUAAAGACAAUUCGUUAUCAAGAGGCUCCUUUUCUUUUCAUUAGGAAAACUCAAAGACCUGAACCUUCCUCACCAAAAAGGACUUUCUUUUUAAACGGACCCACGAUGUCGGGAAGACUGAGCGACCCGGUCAGCGUCUGUGGGAAACACUAUCAGCUCUGAUUCAGAAUGAAACUUUCUCCUCCUGGGAUGUAAACACUGAUUAGACUUUUUAUUUCACAAUUCCCCUCCUCUGAAACCCAAACAGUUCAUUAGAGUAAUCGGAGGGUUCAGGGUCUGUGUGGCCGGGAGGACGGGCGGACAGGCGGGCGGUUACACGCCUCAGAGAGCCGUGACCUGAACGAGGUUUACGGUAAACAAAACCUCCGAGCGUUUUAACAAGGAAGUUUAUCUGUUUUGGUUCAUUAAAAAACUAAAGAUGCAAAAAAAAACUCAGUUUUGAUGAAAGUAUUUCAUUAAGAAAUAUCGAUAAGAUGUUCAGUUAUUCAGGAGCUCCAGUUUGUCUGUUUCCUGUUCGAUAAAGAUUAUAAAUUAAUCAAACUAUCAUGUUUCCGAUGACGGUCAGACGUAUAAUCGAUCUCAACAUCCUCAGAUCUUCCUCAGAUUUCCUCAUUCUGCUCUUUUCAGGAGCUCCAACCAUGACCAUCCACCUCUCAAACCUGCACCAGGAGGCGUAGCUCGGUCCGUACAGUAGGCCUGAUGUUUAUUUGGAAGUACGGUGGCCUGCACAGACCGCGGCCCUCCCUCCCUCCUUCCCUCCUUCCCUACUCCCUCACCUCCUCCUCCCCUCCUCCCCCCUUCAGUAUCUCUCUGCUCCCAGGAAGCUGCCGGGCUUGGCUGGAGCCAGAGUUCUGCCCCAUCCAUCAUCCUUAUCAGGGAGAGACUGGCUGCACCGAGGAGAGGAGGAGGAGGAGGAGGAGGAGGAGGAGGAGGAGGAGAAGGAGGAGGAGGAGGAGCGAGAGGGAGGAGAAGAAGUUUUAAAAAUGAAGUAAAAGACGACAAAACCAAAAAGUGUGGAUCUUUAGUUUUAAAAAGUGUGGUGGAUGUGGUCGGGGGUAAGAUCAGGGGUGAGGUGAAUGAGUGAG